rnacentral:lncRNA from 1 species
UCCUCAGCCUGGGAGUGGGUGGGCACGUGCUGCAGGGAGAGGGGCCCUAAGCUGAAGCCUGGAGCUUAUCAGGACCUGAGUGGGCUGAGAAGCGGGAAGAGAGGGCUUCCAGGGUCAGGGCCUAGUUGGUUCAGACUUCAGGACUGUGGGCUCCUGCCGAUGGCGCCUGCUGCACAGUGACCUCGGGCAGUCCGCCCCCCCCCCAUCCCCCUUAGCUAGGGGGGCCUGCCCAGGUCGUGGUGCUCCCCUGGCCUCGGGCUCAGCCUGCAUGAUGCACCUGUGGCCAACAGGCCCCUUCUUGGCUUUCCCAGGGAUCGAGCUGCAGGUCAGAGGCCCUUCCCCUGCCCUGUCUCUGCCUCCCACCCCGAGAGCUGACAGCCUCUGGGCUUCUCAGAACAUGUCUGGAGUCAGCUGGGGGCGUCUCCUCCGACAUCCACGCGUACCCUAAGGCCUUCACCGCCUGGUCCGCCACCUCCCCACGAGGGCCCGCACUGACUCCGUGACCCUGGGCUGCAUGGUGAUAUCAACCUGGAACUUGACCGGCUUCUGGAACACGGCUGGCCCCCCCGUGGCCUUGUACUCGGCCCGGAAGCUCGUUUGGGAGAUGACGCUGUGGCUGAGACUGGGAAUCUGUGGAGAGAGAGCAGCGCAGCCACAGCACAGGAUGACCAGGACCUUACAGAGGAGCCUUAAGGGCAAAGAUGGAGGUGGAAGGUGACCCCUGCAGCCUGAGGCUUUUAGGGCCUUUCUGCUCCUCCUAACCCAAAGAUGCCCAGCAAAGACAAAUGAAGCCCACCCAAGACCCCGAGCGCGACCACUCUGUGGAGAGCCACCCGGCCUCCGAGGGCAGGGCCAAGCACCCCAGAUGGGCAGUGACCCCUCCCUCACGAGGGUGGGCAGGAGAGAGCGCCUGUCCAGUGAAGGCGGCCAGGCAGGCCCACGGGUGAGCGGACGUCCGUGCUGUGCGCGUGGACAUGUCCUGUCUACGUGAGGAGGCUGGAUUCUCGGGGCUGGGCCGUGUGGGGUUGGGAGGGCUGCCCGCCUCCCCCAGCGCC